UUCCCGCGGUCCUGCGCCUACGUGCAAGCGGGGUUUUAGCCAGUAAGAGUCCGGCACGCCCCUCCGCCUCUCCCCAAACGGAUGAAGACCACGAGGGUUUCCCCCCGAUAAAAUAAGAGUGGGGCAGUUGCCCAUACAUAUUAUUUACCCAUAUAUUUAGACGCUAUAAACGUCUGUUUUUCAUUGAAGUUUCAAUAGUCGAGCAGUGAAGACGCGUCAACAUGAAGGGCAUUUAUUUCAUUAUGUUCGUGAGCUCAGCGCUAAUAGUCGCAUUCUGUUCAAUACAAGCGCAACCAAUUGAUGACAACGCACUAUUCGAACAACGAGAAAAGCCAGUGAAUAUGCGGAUCAAGCGGCUGGUCUGUGUUCUAUGUGACAAAGCCUUAAAACAUUGGUGUCCCAGUAAUCAAAUAUAUUUCUUCAACCAAUGCCUUCCUUGUGAACUGUAUAAAUUAAUCAUGGAUAAAGAUUGCCCGGUUUCUAAUAUGAAUAAAAAGUAAUAUAAUAAUCUCUACAUACAUAGGUAUAAGUAUGUAUGUAUGUAGUAUUAUGGAAUAUAUUAUACAAGUACAGUACUGAAAACUUACAAUGGACCACAAAUGCUUAAUCGCAGUUAGCUGGAAAUAUGCAGCCGAUGACUUUAUAUAAUUUAUUGUAAACAUAAUUUUAUUAAAUAUUUUGAAACCUA
rnacentral:lncRNA from 1 species